rnacentral:rRNA from 1 species
CUCUUUAAGAGUAAGACUUAAAGUAAAAUCUGCUCAAUGAAAAAAUUAAAUAGCCGCAGACUAACAUCUGUGCUAAGGUAGCAUAAUCAUUAGCUUUAUAAUUAAAAGAUAGAAUGAAAGAUUAAACGACACACUUACUAUUUAUAUUAAUUUAAAUUAACCUUAAUUAAAAGUUAAAAUUCUUUUAAUAAUAAAGAAGACGACAAGACCCUAUAAACUUAUAAUUUUACUGGGGCGGUAUAAAUAAAAAAAUCUUAUAAUUAUCCAAAAACAACCCUAAAAUAUUUAUCUAAAGUUACUAUAGGGAUAACAGCGCAAUUUUCUUCCAAAGAUCAUAUAUAAAAGACAAGUUUACGACCUCGAUGUUGAAUUAAUUUUAUCUAAAAUUUAGUGAAAAUACUAUAAAGAAUGGUCUGUUCGACCAAUAAUAAAUU